rnacentral:rRNA from 1 species
CCCUUAGAUGUUCUGGGCCGCACGCGCGCUACACUGAUGCAUUCAACGAGCCUAUCCUUGACCGACAGGUCCGGGUAAUCUUUGAAUCUGCAUCGUGACGGGGAUAGAUUAUUGCAAAUUUUAAUCAUGAACGAGGAAUUCCUAGUAAGUGCAAGUCAACAGCUUGCGUUGAUUACGUCCCUGCCCUUUGUACACACCGCCCGUCGCUACUACUGAUUGGAUGUUUAAGCGAGGUUCUCGAACUGCUAGUGACUGAUCUUCGGUGAGGUCGCAGUGUGGGAAGUGAACCUAGCUUUGGUGUCUAGAGGAAGUAAAAGUCGUAACA